GCUCAAGUAGCUCAGCUGGAUAGAGCGUCUGGCUACGGACCAGAAUGUCGCGAGUUCGAAUCUUGUCUUGCGCA
rnacentral:tRNA from 1 species